CCUUUAUGAUAAUAACUUACUUUAUUCAGUUUGUUCUCGAGAGUUUCAGAAAAUUCCUCGAAAGAUUUCGACGACAAUGAUGAUGAUGAUGAUCACACAACAGACAAAUAACAGAUAAUUAAUGUAACCGGUACCUGGCUAUGGAAAAAUGAUUUAAUGAUGAUGGGAUAAUCUUUGUUUUUUCUUUUCUUACCUGAUGCCGGGUAUACACUGAAUUGAAGAAUGGAGAUUAUUGAUAGCCCGAAAUUCUUGA